AUUAUAUUUAAAAGUAAGAUAUUAUAAAGUAAUAUCUCAUUAUACAAUGAGAUAUCACUUUAUUGCUUAAGUAAAAGGUCUGAGUACUUCUUCAACCACUGAUAUACAUACAAUAAUAUAUAUGGUUAAAAUGUACUUUUAAGAGCAAAACUUCAAUGUUAAAUUUCUUAUUUUGCAGUGAUAGUUGUGAAUCUUGUGCAAUUUCCAACCCUGCAGACUAUAAAACAGGCCUUAGAGUCAGAGGUGAAUAUUGUGAGGUUCCCUCCACUGCUGCAGCUCACUUAAUUAAUGGCCCAUCAGGGGGAGGGGCCGCUCCCCGCUCUCUGCCAUACACACUGCAGAGAGCUGUUGACCUGCAGGUGACCUGCACUCACAGGCAGCUGCCCUUCCCCCCACCUGCAGAGGAGAGCUGAAGCUCAGAGCUGAGGCAUGAGACAGGAGGAGCAUGAGACAGGAGGAGCAUGAGACAGGAGGUCUCCAGGCUACAGCCAUACAGUCGUGGAAGGAAACAGUACAGCUAGCAGCCUGCUAGCUUUUAAAAGACUGGAGUGACUCAACUAAGGAAAAGACAACUUUUAAACUGUUUCUGUGCAGGUAAGAUUUUAACUCUUAAACUCUCUUAUUUUUAGCUUCCACACGUCAGUUAAUGUGGGUUGUAAUAAAUUGUAACUACUAACUUAAUUGUCAGGCAGUACAUUUUUAUAUCUAUGUGGACAUAUAUUAGUUUAGAGUUUUAUUAGAGUUGUUUAACAACAUUGCAGUGACACCAUUUAAAGUCAGUUUGUAUCUUUUUCUGAAAAAAAGAAAGUGGACACAUUUAUAACUCCAUUUAGAACUUGUUAAAUGGUUCAAGCAUUUUUAUAUCUAAUCUGAUUUGUUUUUCAAAGACUUUUGUAGUUUGUAGAACUAUUUAAAGUGACAGUGUUUUUUAUAGAAGAGAAGUUUUUCCUCUGGUGUUUUCCACAGUGUUUCUAUGUGCUAUAACAUGCUAUAGACUUUAAUAUCUUAAUGAGGUUUUGGGGCUGUCACUGAUAUUUGUGGGGAAAAGAGUGUAAUGCAACUAUUGUGGCAGCAAAGUUUAGUCUCAAUUGUAAAUAAAUACUUAAGUUCAAAUGUAGUUAUAAGAAACUACAGCAGAGAGCUACACUUUAGAAACUACACUGCAGUUAAUGCUUAACAGUCUAUUUUUAUUUUGAAUCCAGUGGUAGCUGUAGCUGUGCUCUCAUGGCUUGUUUGUAAAGUUUUCAAUCUUCUUUUUGGUUUUAGGUCCAGAAGUUGAUGGCUGUGAGACAAACACAGAUGGAGGUUCUGACCUCUUCUCACCUAAAGAGAGACUGGAGACCUGCAGUGAGGAUGGUGGUUCAGAUGUAUAUGAUGGAGUUUCUGACCUCUGCUCCCCCAAAAAGAGACUGGAUCCCUGCAGUGACGAUGGGAGUUCAAAUAUAGAUGUUUGUUACACUUUUGAAAUGGGUAUCACAGUGUCCUUCCUUAUGGCAGUUAAAUUACUGUCCCAUGGUGAUCCAGUUGUGAGGAAGAACGAUUCUGUAAUAUUCUAGUACACACUGCUGCUUACAGUUUUGACCUCAGAAAUAUACUGUUUUAGCAGCCAACUGUCAGAUUGUGGUAGUUAGGUUUUACUGUCAUCACUUAAAUACACAUGAACCCUGAAUAUCCAUUUUAACUGAGUUUUCACUAACGGGUGCCAAUGUAUGUCUGUUACUGUUGUAGAUCAGAGUCCAGAAACAAGCUUGGUGAAGAGGCCCUCACAGAAGAAGAAAAUACGUAAGAAGACCAAGAUAGUGGAAGCAAUAGUGCCACCCACAGUAAAGGUGAAGAGACCAUGGAGUGAAGCAGAGAGGAGUGCGGUAUACAAACACAUGGCAAAGUUUAUUGCAGAGCGCCACGUUCCAGGUAAAGAACACUGCAUGUGAUGCAUAAAAGAGGAGGAAGCCUUGGGUCAAAGAUCCUGGAAGGAUGUAAAGAACUUUGUGUACAACACAAAUGUCACAUUAAACUGGAGGUGUGCUACACGGCAGCUUCCCUUUUUGAAGAUCUUUAUUGUGCAAAAUAAUGUUGUGUUC